UACGGAGGAUGCAAGCGUUAUCCGGAUUCAUUGGGUUUAAAGGGUGCGCAGGCGGGGAUGUAAGUCAGUGGUGAAAAGCUGCCGCUUAACGGUAGUCUUGCCAAUGAUACUACAUUUCUUGAGUAUGGUUAAGGUAGGCGGAAUGUGCAGUGUAGCGGUGAAAUGCAUAGAGAUUGCACAGAAGGCCGAUUGCGGAGGCAGCUUACUGAGCCAUAACUGACGCUGAGGCACGAAAGCGUGGGGAUCGAA
rnacentral:rRNA from 1 species